rnacentral:rRNA from 1 species
GACGGGGGGGGGCAAGUGUUCUUCGGAAUGACUGGGCGUAAAGGGCACGUAGGCGGUGAAUCGGGUUGAAAGUGAAAGUCGCCAAAAAGUGGCGGAAUGCUCUCGAAACCAAUUCACUUGAGUGAGACAGAGGAGAGUGGAAUUUCGUGUGUAGGGGUGAAAUCCGUAAAUAUACGAAGGAACGCCAAAAGCGAAGGCAGCUCUCUGGGUCCCUACCGACGCUGGGGUGCGAAAGCAU